rnacentral:lncRNA from 1 species
ACAACCUCUGGAACAGUAGGGACAUCAUCCACUUAGAUUCCAGGCAUCCAGGACAGUGGGGACAUCAUCCACUUAAAUCCCAGGCAUCCAAGAAGGUGGGUCGUCGCCCUCCACCAUACUUGGGGAACAACAACCUCUAGAACAGUAGGGACAUCAUCCACUUAGAUUCCAGGCAUCCAGGACAGUGGGGACAUCAUCCACUUAAAUCCCAGGCAUCCAAGGAGGUGGGUCGUCGCCCUCCACCACACUUGGGGACAAACAUCCUCUGGAACAGUAGGGAAAUCAUCCACUUAGAUUCCAGGCAUCCAGGACAGUGGGGACAUCAUCCACUUAAAUCCCAGGCAUCCAAGGAGGUGGGUCGUCGCCCUCCACCACACUUGGGGACAAACAUCCUCUGGAACAGUAGGGAAAUCAUCCACUUAGAUUCCAGGCGUCCAAGUAGGUGGGUCGUCGCCCUCCACCGCACUUGGGGAACGUAAACCUCUGGGACAGUAGGGACAUCAUCUACUUAAAUCCCAGGCAUCUAGGACAGUAGGGACAACAUCUACUUAAAUCCUAGGCAUCCAAGAAGGUGGGUCGUCGCCCUCCACCGCACUUGGGAACAACCUCUGGAACAGUAGGGACAUCAUCCACUUAGAUUCCAGGCAUCCAGGACAGUGGGGACAUCAUCCACUUAAAUCCCAGGCAUCCAAGAAGGUGGGUCGUCGCCCUCCACCAUACUUGGGGAACAACAACCUCUGGAACAGUAGGGACAUCAUCCACUUAGAUUCCAGGCAUCCAGGACAGUGGGGACAUCAUCCACUUAAAUCCCAGGCAUCCAAGGAGGUGGGUCGUCGCCCUCCACCAUACUUGGGGAAAAACAAAUAAAAUUUAAAAUAAAUAAAUAAAACUCCAACCCCUGAGGGUUCUCCAAAGCUGCACCCCUGAGGGUCUUCCUGAUGGUUUACCGGAAGUACGGGCCAUCAGGGCAUAGGAAUUCUUUCGAACCAUCUUGUGAAGAUGGUUGUCCAGGCAUCCCGAGGGUGUCAAACAUGUGUCUCGAUUACACAUGAAGACAAAUUCCAAAGCAACAGGGAGGUUGUCCCUGGUCUUCACGCUCCAUUCAAGAUACAAAUAUAUAGAUUCGAAAAGAGAUAUAAGAAAAGUUUUAAAUUUGUUGCUUACGUGGUAAUGUGGCCGGUGGGCAUGUUCCAUUGCUACCCCCCGAGGCUUGGGAGUGAUUUCAUCGAUUCCAGGGCUGUUACGCAAAUAUCAGAACGAAAAAAUAUGAACACAAAUUUAGAGAAGGAGAAUAUACACCUUCCUGUGAGUACUUCUGAUGUCCAGCGUUUCAUGUCCUUGAAAUAUCCUUUCUUCUAGAUCUUCGAGAUAGCAGGUUUUGGACGUCAAACUUAUUUUGAAAUAGGAGUGGCUUCUAUAAAUAUUUUUAUUUCAAUGUCGUCUUUUGAAAUUUUGGAUAUUGUUGAGGAGCUCUUCUCGCAACCCUUC